UGUUGAUUCCACAAUCACUUUAUCGUCGGUGUUUUUGUCCAAUUGGAAGAACUCUGAGAAGCCGCAGACAUGAAGCGUCAUUGGGGACACACCUCACCUCGUACCUGAGCAAACCCGCAAUGUCUUUCUCAUUUGCAAGGUUAAGAAGAUUUAAAAUACCAGCACAUUUUGCUACCAUAAUCCAAGAUGUCUUGAUGUGAAGUUGAUUACUGAUACAUUUCUGCGUGUAGAACUUUGGAUAACAGAGAUAAUUGUUAAGGUAUCUGCAACUUAUCUGUUGCUGAUGAAGAAAAUAAUGCUUAAGGAUAACAGUAUUGAAUCCCCCACCCUCUCAAUCUCAGUAGAAAUACCAGAUGUGUAAGAAAUUCAAAAUUCAAAACCUAAUUGAAUUCUCCAAAGUGAUGCAAGAUAAAAAUCCUAUAAUGAAGGUAAUAAUAUCAUGUUAUAGUAUACAAGAUAGUUUAUAUGUAAGUUUCCCUGGUUAUUCCCAGCUUUGAAAUUCAGUUUGGAUAUUAUCAGGUACUUUUUCACGCUUCUAAGAUUGGGAAAAAUUUAUUUCAUCUAAAUGUUGUAUUUCCACUUUUUAGUGCUCCAAACAACAAAAUGUUGAAUUUUGUCUUUGGGUAUUAACUAAAAAGGGUCUCUAAGUUUAUCUCUAACAAUUAGGAUCGAGUUUUGGACAGGUUGCUGAGUGUAGGAAAAAUUAGAGAAAUGUUGAAGUUGAUGAAAGUCAGGUAUCAAUAGAGUAGCAGUAUAGUACAAAAAUGAUCGUGAACGGAGUUACAGAUAGUGCUAAUGAUAGGAUACAGAUAAAGUUGUUGAUUUAGCCUAUUAAGAAACUUGAGCAUGGUUUUACAUUUUUGUAAUUUGAAUUAUUGUCAUUUCAUCCUGUCGUUUGAUCUUUGUAUAGCACUAUGGAUUGCCUCAUAUCUACAAUUAAAAAUUAAGUUUAUAUCUGUAGGUUCUGCUCCUCUGGGUUACCUCAUUUUUGUUGGUUAGAUGUUAAUAAGAACCUAUUGCCAAUGUUGUUGCAUACAUGUUAAAUGCUUUUGUUUUUGUUUCCCUAGAUCUCAUGCAAUGAUACUUGAAUACUUUCUUUUCAUGCUGGCAUCAUCUCUGCUUUUCAGACUGCUUUGACCAUAGUUAGUAAAAGCUUACAUAUUUACCAAGAAAGUUAAAGAAUUUCCAUUCCCCACUACUUGACCAAACAAUAAAAGGAAGGCAAAAAGAUUUGGUUGCAUAACUUUUGUCAGUAUAACUAUUUCUGGCAUCAGGGUAAUAUUUCCAAAAAUGUUAGCAGGAAUGGUACAACACCAAAACAGCAUUCAUAAUUUGUACUACGUAGAGAAUGUCACAUGAAAUUUCCUAGCAACUCUCACUGAAGCUGGUUUGGUUGGAAAUUUAAACUCCUGUGGUUCACAUAAUUCUGAAAAAGAAAAGAAAAAAGAAGUGGCAUACUCUAAACGGUUAAGGAUAUUUCUGAAACUAAAAGUUGUGGCUUCAUUUAUGCAGUACAAAGCCAUAUAAUAUAGGGAAUGUCAUUGCUCUGGCCCCAUAGAGGAAAGACUUGUUGACAAAUAGUUCAAGGUCUGCUAGCUGGCUUGAUUCUCUUCUCCAUUUGAAGUUUAUCCCUAACUAUAUUCUUGCAGUUAAAUUUUCUGUCGUACUUAGGUUCCUUUGUACUUGCAUGAAUGGUGUAACGUCUUUUCAGAAUUAGACUGCAUUAAUGAGUGAUGGAUUUAGCAGCCAAUACUCAUUGUCCUAAAUGGGGACAGAGGAAGGGGACCAAUUGGUUUCAAGUCACUCUGUAAUCCUUCCUUAGUGGCUUUUGUCCCAAAAACCUUUGUUGAUGUCUACCUCUUUAUCCGACAUCCCUUGGGACCCUUGUCUCCUCCUAUAUUCAAUUCUUCAAUAAAUUACUUUUUUUUCUUCUAAUUGGAGUGUCACCUACUUUAAAGCUUAGUGCUAAUUUCUUGAUAAACUGUUUUGUUUUAAAGAUUAAUACUAAUACCUCUUAACAAGUUCUUUAUAUACACACUCAAUCAAACUCCUAACUAUCUGUUAUGCAUUUUCUUUCUGUAAAUUACACAUUUUUCUGAAUUGGGAUGUCACUUACUUUAAGUUUAAUAUGUUAAUCUAUCUGAAAACUAACAUGUUUGAAAGAUUGAUAUCUUUUAACAAAUAUUAUUUAUACAUACAACUCUCAUAAUUCAAGUAUCAUCUGUUUUAGAAUUGCAGACUAAUCUUUUGAAGUAUUAGUAUCUGUUUGGAAUAUUGAUUUUUCUUCUGCUAGAUAUGCAGAAUCUAGUAUGGAAUAUCUGACUACAUGUUUAAGAAACAUAAUUACCUAAAAUAUUUGACAUUACAUUAAUAUUUUUACUUAAUUGCUUGUGGUGUGUUAUUAGUUAAUUUCUUGAUGAAAAGGACAGAGUUUUGAUGAUGAAUAUUUUAUGCUAGAGAAGAUUUAUAUGCAACACCACACAUGGGUUGUAGUGGAUGAUAAAGCCUGAAAUUUCCUUGCCAUGAAAAUCAUGAUAUUUAUUUAGUUAAUAUUUGAGAGUUGUGCUGAAGUGAUUGAAGGACAAGAAUACAGCUACGUGUGUCUGAAGGAGUCUAGUGGUAAUGGUAUCAUGUAAUUUAUCCAUUUGUGCGCGUGCCUUCAGGAUGAGAUCUGCACAUACCCAUUGUCCUUUUUUACAUUUGUUUUUUUGCUGUAAAUUGUAAGUACUAUACAAUUUUGCAAGUUGGUUUCUAAUUCAUAUUUCUGU